rnacentral:rRNA from 2 species
UAGGGAAUCUUCCGCAAUGGGCGAAAGCCUGACGGAGCAACGCCGCGUGAGUGAUGAAGGUCUUCGGAUCGUAAAACUCUGUUAUUAGGGAAGAACAAAUGUGUAAGUAACUAUGCACGUCUUGACGGUACCUAAUCAGAAAGCCACGGCUAACUACGUGCCAGCAGCCGCGGUAAUACGUAGGUGGCAAGCGUUAUCCGGAAUUAUUGGGCGUAAAGCGCGCGUAGGCGGUUUUUUAAGUCUGAUGUGAAAGCCCACGGCUCAACCGUGGAGGGUCAUUGGAAACUGGAAAACUUGAGUGCAGAAGAGGAAAGUGGAAUUCCAUGUGUGGCGGUGAAAUGCGCAGAGAUAUGGAGGAACACCAGUGGCGAAGGCGACUUUCUGGUCUGUAACUGACGCUGAUGUGCGAAAGCGUGGGGAUCAAACAGG